UUUCCAAAUAUGUAGGUUUUCUAGAUAUCGUUAUUAAUUUCUAAUACAAUUUCAUUGUGUAUAGAGAACAUAUUCUGGAAAUUUCAAUCUGUUGACUUUUGAGACUUAUUUUAUGGCCCAGUAUUUGGUCUGUUUUGCUAAAUGUAUUAUGUGCACUUGCAAAGAAUGUAUUUUCUACAGUUACUGCUUGUAGUGUUCUAUAAAUGUCAACAGAAAUUGACAAGCUGGCCAAUAUGUCCUUUUACACUUUUUGUCUAAUUCUAUCAAUUGCUGAAAGAAAAAGUGCUAACAUAUCCAACUAUGAUCGUGGAUUAAAUUCUAUCAAUUUUUACUUGAUGUACUGUGAAGUAAUGUUAGUUGCGUACAUAUUUAUGGUUUUCUACUGAAUUGACUGUUUAUCAUUAUGAAAUGCCCCCCUUUAUUUCUGGUAACACCCCUCAUUUUGAAGCCUACUUUAUCUAACAUUAAUAUAGUAUCAGGCUUUUUUUAUCCUUUGUGUUUUUUUGUUUGUUUGUUUGUUUUGCGGUACGCGGGCCUCUCACUGCUGUGGCCUCUCCCGUUGCAGAGCACAGGCUCUGGACGCGCAGGCUCAGCGGCCAUGGCUCACGGGCCCAGCCACUCCACAGCAUGUGGGCUCCCCCCGGACCGGGGCACGAACGCCUGUCCCCUGCAUUGGCAGGUGGACUCUCAACCACCGUGCCACCAGACUAUCAGAGCUGGAUUAUUCAUCAAAGAUUUGUGUUUGCUUCAGUGGCUGAUAUACCACACAGCCCAAGGAUCAGCUCAGCUAAGACAAGGCUUUGUCAUGACAGGACUGCUGCGCGGAGGUCUGUCUCAGACUUUCCUUCCACAAAGGAAGGGGUCCGCCAGCCAAGAGAAAGUCCUUUCCAACACAGAUAGCAUCACAUGCCCUGCUGGCUCUUGGAACUACAUACAUAGAGCCGAAGCCUUGCUCUCAAUUCUUCGGGAACCUGUCUGGGCCAUCUUCUCGCUCGUUUCUGGCUGACGGGGCAGCAGGGGCUGCGCAGGCCUCAGCCUCCUCGUGAUCAUCGUAACACGUUCUGCGUUCCAGCUCCUGAUGCCCAGGGAAUGUGCUGGCCUCCGUGCUGCCUGUGUCACGGGACCUUUCCUAAUCUGGAACAUCCUCGCCCAAGAAACCCCAACUCUCGGCUCAUCCUACACCUAUUUUUCUCUUAUUUGUGCUGAUGCUUCAGUUGGUUGCGCUUCCACCGUGGGCUCUGGCUCCAGAGGAAGAGAUGGUGGCUUUGUGAGCUGGGAUGUUCCUCCGACACCUAGUAACAAAACAAACAGCUUGAAUUCUCAGUUCCAUGGUUCCAGAAGAAAUCAAUAUUUUCACUGUCAAGUUUCAAGAAAAAAACCCAUAUUUUCUGAGACUAGUGGGACUGUGGCAUAUCUGGGCAGCUGUGAAGGAAGACCAUAACUGAAGAAAUAAAGCAACAGUCAAGUGUGCCUUCAGUGACCUUAUAAAAGAAAUGUUUAAUUAGCUGCACCAUGCUGACUUAUAAUAAGGCAGUGAGAAUUAAAGUGAGACUACAUAACGAAAGGUGCUGCAAUGUAUUUCUAAACCUGAAUAUUGUAAAGACCCAGUGUACCGACAUCCAGCUAAGACUGCCAGUAGCUGUUAACUUUUACACAAAUUGCCUUAAGGAAACAAGUGACAGUUCGGCCACCCUUGGGCUUUUUCCCCCUUCUAGGCAGCACUACGUUGGAUGUGUCCUGAGUCUGAAAAGCACAAGCCUCAUUCCAAGCUAUAAUCUCUUUGCAGGCACAUGUGGCUUGUACCCACAGGUCUUCAUAUAGCUGUGUGUAGCUUCCUACCUGAGGGGAGCUUCCUAUACGCGGCUGCUGAAGACAUUGCCUGUCCUAGAGCUUGAUUAGAACCCAGAGGCUGCUGGAAACUGGCGGCUUUACUGGUUGAAGUGGUCCGCUGCUUUGAUUUGGGAUCUUUAACUGGUUUAGUCCAGACCAGUGCCUCCCCGACCUGGAGAGCAGCUCCCAACUUCUGGGCCGUCUCCACCAUCUUGUGCCCAAGUGGGAAGGAAAAAAAAAAAGAGUCACAGGGCUGACCGGCAGAGACAAGCCUCAUCCCAGGUCUUCAGCAGGCAGGUGGGGAUUAGCUGAAAUAGUGUCUGCUGUACUAGCAUUUGAGGGAGGAAACACUUACUGCAAAGAAAUCAUUCUCAAACAGCAGAGACCACAUUGCCCUGAGUGGAUGGCAAGGGAGUUCUUUAAAGGCUCUCAAACCCAACAAUUCAAGUUUGGUGCAUUGUUGGACUAAAUUCCUGCCUUUCCUAUGUGAGGAGAAUGGGAGGAAGCUACAAAGAGACAUAAUACAACUCAUUUGAGCUGAGGUCUAUCAAUACUGGAUAUAACUCAGUAAGCCUGAAUUUCCUCUUAUUAUUUUUGUCCAGGAAAGUUUCUUCUCAAGCUGUUCUUAAUUGAAGAAUUCAUGCCACUAGGAAUGUCUAAGCCAAAACAGGCAUGAGCCUAUAUAACACCUUAUAUUUGGGUUAUUUGGGCUUGAUUCAAAAGUCUCUUGACAGCUUGCUUAUGACUCCUAGGAGCUAAGGCUUACCUCCGGGUCAAAUUCCAGGGAGCUGCUGUCCUUGAGUAGGUUGACUUUCUUCUCCAUCUCCUGGUACUGGGCCAGGGCGCCCCUCUCCUCUCCCUGGUUGUACAGCAGCACAGCAUAGUUCAGGUUUACCAAAGGGUUACACCUGUGCAAACAGACAGCAAUUCUUAUGGAGCUGGGGCUUCGCAACACAUGGUCACUUAGAGAUCCUUCUCACUGCACAAAAAUAAAACUGGCUAAGUACAGACAGCUCCGCUCCACUCCACAGCAAGGUGGGGCACACACGUGUUGUGUGGACCUUUGGAGAAGAAUCAGGGAGUUAACUUCCCAACCAGCAAAGCAGGUACUGGGACCAAGCCUGACAUCUCAGCCCUCAAAAGAGACGAAAAACAGGUCCCUACCCUGCUGCCUAACAGAGGCCAAUGGAAUAAAUCCCAGGAGAGUCAAGUUUAUCUUAAAUUAAACUGAGCCCAGAGUCCCAUGUGACAUUCCAGCGAGCCCACAGCUAUCAACAGCCCAAGCCCACUGCCAGCUCUCACUUUCUCUGGCCUCCUGACUACUAAGGGCUGGAAACGUUUUCUCAGAAAGAGUCAGCAUCGGGUCCUGCCGAGCCUCUCUGUGCUCAGAGCCACGUCCUGCAGCACAGAGGCCCGCUGUGCACAGAGGCCCGGGGAGCGAGCAGCUGGGCUGGCUCGGCAACGCCGGGGCCGUGGCGCCACCUCGCGGCUCUGCGGCGCCCAGCCCUCCCAGCGGCGUUCCCGACAGGGCGGCUUACUUAUCCAGGCGGACUGCUUCUGUGUAGGCUCUCCGGGCAUUCUCUGUGUCUUCCAGGUUGGUCAGAGCCACUGCAACGAAGAAAGUGAGUGCAGUGGCUGAAGAGCCCAGCGGAGAAAACACAGGCAAUGUUUCAAGACGGCAGUUCAUUCAGCCGCCAAACCUAACUAACUCCUGCUGUGCCCGCCCAGCUCCUGGCACCACCGUCUGCACAGCCACUCAGCUUGGAUUCCAGGUAUCAUCUUGUUCAACGGUCCCCUCUCCACAGUUAGUCAGCGGCUGGGUUCCAUGAAUUCCAUUUUUUACAGCUUCUUUGGUGACACUGCCCUGGUUUAGUCAUGUCAGGCCUUCCGUUUUGUUCCCCAAGGGCACUGUCCCGCUUGCCACAGCGCAGGCUGCCAGGUAUCUCGCUGACUGAGACAAAUCUGACCGCGUCACUGGCCUACUCAGGAAUACUCACAUGCUCACUGCUCUCCAGCACCCAUAACCGUACCUUUAAACUUUUGUUUAGCAACAGAACACUCUCCCUUUUUAAAUCAGUACUUUCUGAAAGCCUGACCUAUAACCCAAACAACAGCAGAGCUGCUCUGGAAGCCCUGCCCACUCCACCUCCCCAGCUGUUCAUCUACUUCUACCAGACACAAGAGGAGAUCCACGAACACAGCUGGGAAAAACAGAGCCUCUGGGAUCAAGUGUACAGUCCCUGUGCUGUACUCAAUGGUCCUCCAUACUCUGACGCCAGACUACCUCUCCUGACUCAUCUCCCACCACGUUCUACAACACUAUUGCCCAUAACGGCCUGGUACCUCUUGCAGUUUCAUGGCUGCAUGCCUUUACUCAGGGACUUCUCAGCCAUUCUGUACUACUGAAUUCCAGCUUAUCUUUUCACAGCUCACUGUGAAGAUCAUCUCUACUUUGCGAAGUUAGAAUUGCUGCUUAUGCCAUACGGUACAGCUAUUUGUUUACAUUCCUGUAUCCCAUUAUGACUGGGCUAUCUUUGUAUUCAGAGAGCCCCCAAGUAACCACCACUCAAUUUGUUUUUGCAACCUUUCUCUUAUAAAUCAGAACCUCACAGUAAUGACCAAAACACACAAACAAACAAAAAAAAAGACCAAAAAGACACCUGAAGACUACUGUCAAUGAGAACAUGGAAACUGCUUUUAGGUAUACAUUUCUUAACUUUAGUAUAUGGAGAAGUAUCCUCCAGAAAGAAUAUUUAGUAUAAGGAGAAGAAUCCCCCAGAAAGAAUAUUUAGUCAGUACUUUUAUACUGUAGAGCAACAACAGUAAUAGACUAAUUAUAUAAUGACAACAAAACCAGCAGUUAACAUUCAUUGUGUCUAAUCAUGUAAUCCUUUCAUCAACCCUAUGAGAUAUAGCUAGUAAGUAGUAGAGGCAGGACCCUACCUAAAGCCCAAGAUCGUAACACCUGCUGAUAACUGGAGCUUGGCUGGAUUCAACAGAUGAACUGUCAUGGGAAAACCACUGUUAAAAGAUGAACUAGAGACGAACCUGAUUGAACCUGCUGGUCUCUGAGUGAAAUUCCCCUAAGUGAGAAGCAACAAGGUGCUUUGUCAUCUUUUUCUUUCAUAUUUCUUCAAACUCCAGGACAGUAAUCCAGAUUCCUAUGGGAUCUGCAAGGGAAUGGCUUCUAUGGGACAUUUAACCACUGGCCUCCUAUGAUUCUAAUUCAUUUUUCCCUGAGUACAGACUGCGAAAGGGGUUCUUCACACAAAUGUCUCUUACCAGCCAAGAGCAUGUAGAGCUCCCCCAUCUUUGGCUGGAAGUUGAUGGCUGCACUGAGAAAAUGGAAGGCUGAUGCAUACUGCUGCAUAGUCAAGUGGACGAGGCCCAGAUUAUACAGAAUCUUCCAGUCGAAGGGUGCCAAGUAGUUGGCUCGUUUCAGGCAGCUGAUAGCCUGGAGGAGAGAGCAGGCACUCGGUGAGAGGCUGGGGCAAGCUGGCAGAACCAGCAACUGAACACAAACCAAGAAAAUGAGGAGACACUCACUGCCACGUAUUUCUUCUUGCCAAAGAAACACAUCCCAAUGUUAUUCCAGAGUGGAGGACUUUCUGGAACAGCACAAGCUACAAUUCUGUAUUUGGUGAGGGCAACAUCAAAGUCCCCAUGGGUCUGCAUCAUGCUGCCUGCUGCCAAGAUGGCCUGAAAACAUGGGAUAUGGAAAGUUGGUAAUUCAGUCAUUCCCAAAAGGCUGUUGCAGUGAAGUAGCCUUCCUGAGUGUAGAUACUCAGCAGGCCCAUCAGCACUGGUGGGACUGAAAAGCUUCUUCCAGGGACCUAUAUACUAUAUCCAAGCUAUUGGAACAGACGCUCAUGAAGAACACUCCUGCACCCCACGCUGGCUCUCUUCGGCAUAAUACAGAAAAGUCACUGACUUUACCCAGCUUAUUUCUUUCCUACUGGUGGCCAGGGAAGUCACUAUUUCAGAGUAUCAGGGCCCUGGGACGUGGCUGGGAAGAAGGAACAACAGGAAUGGCCUCUGCCCCAAAGCCCUAGCGGUACCACAGCUUCUCCUCCCACCACAAAAUGCCAGCCCCUCUGACCCCAGUUACUUCUCGUAUGUGUUCUUGCCUUGGUUGGAUAAGAACUGUAAUUGCACUAGGCUCAAACAGAUUUAAUUUGCUUCUGAUUUGAAUGCUGAAAAUUAAUUCCUUUAGCAGACAAAGAAUAUCAAAUGCAGAGAGUAAAGUUCAUGUCCUUCUUA